rnacentral:rRNA from 1 species
AAUAGAUACCCAGGUAGUCCACGCCGUAAACGAUGGAUGCUAGCUGUAUUCGGUAUCGACCCCGGAUGUAGCGAAGCUAACGCGUUAAGCAUCCCGCCUGUGGAGUACGGUCGCAAGACUAAAACAUAAAGGAAUUGACGGGGACCCGCACAAGCGGUGGAGCGUGUUGUUUAAUUCGAUGGUAAGCGAAGAACCUUACCCAGGUUUGACAUCCUGCGAAUUUCUCCGAAAGGAGAAAGUGCUUUUAGAGCGCAGUGACAGGUGCUGCAUGGCCGUCGUCAGCUCGUGUCGUGAGAUGUUUGGUUAAGUCCAUCAACGAGCGCAACCCUUGUGGCUAGUUGGAUUUUUCUAGUCAGACUGCCCCGGCAACGGGGAGGAAGGAGGGGAUGGAUGUCAGGUCAGUAUUGCCCUUACACCUGGGGCUACAAACACGCUACAAUGGCCGGUACAAAGGGCAGCCAAGUCGCAAGACGGAGCAAAUCCCAUCAAAGCCGGUCCCAGUUCGGAUAGCAGGCUGAAACUCGCCUG